rnacentral:rRNA from 1 species
UGGGGAAUUUUGGACAAUGGGCGCAAGCCUGAUCCAGCCAUGCCGCGUGCGGGAAGAAGGCCUUCGGGUUGUAAACCGCUUUUGUCAGGGAAGAAAUCUUCUGAGUUAAUACCUCGGGAGGAUGACGGUACCUGAAGAAUAAGCACCGGCUAACUACGUGCCAGCAGCCGCGGUAAUACGUAGGGUGCAAGCGUUAAUCGGAAUUACUGGGCGUAAAGCGUGCGCAGGCGGUUUUGUAAGACAGAGGUGAAAUCCCCGGGCUCAACCUGGGAACUGCCUUUGUGACUGCAAGGCUUGAGUGCGGCAGAGGGGGAUGGAAUUCCGCGUGUAGCAGUGAAAUGCGUAGAUAUGCGGAGGAACACCGAUGGCGAAGGCAAUCCCCUGGGCCUGCACUGACGCUCAUGCACGAAAGCGUGGGGAGCAAACAGGAUUAGAUACCCUGGUAGUCCACGCCCUAAACGAUGUCAACUGGUUGUUGGGAAGGUUCCUUCUCAGUAACGUAGCUAACGCGUGAAGUUGACCGCCUGGGGAGUACGGCCGCAAGGUUGAAACUCAAAGGAA